AUCAAGUGGGGAAACCCUGGGGCCCACAGUGAGUGUCCCCUCCUCCUCCGGAAAACCCUAACCCAGUUUUUGGGCACAUGCCAGACUUUUAUUCUGAAGCCGAGGCCACAGCCUAUGAGGUAAUCUUUGGAGCUGCAUUCGAGGCAGAGUCCCAUUGGCUGGCUGGCAAAACCCCUCCCCGGGUUCCCGGCGCCCCGCCUUCCCCAAUGCCCAUAAAAGCGCAUGUCCCCGUCUCGGUAGCCACUGGACACCUGCAUCUGCCAACAAGACCGGAAGCAGGUCAGCGCAUGGACGUCUUCCCAGAAAGUGACAAAGACGGCGAAGUUUGACAGUCUGGAAAGCGGAGACCAGACGGGCUGACUACCUGAGAGCACCGCGACUCCGGACAGCGCCUCUCGGGGUCCGGGAUGGGACCCGCGAUCUGCUUCAGCACCGGGGCUGCGGACAGCUCCUGGCGGAGGCCCGGGGCCCCUCCGACAUCGUUUCAGCACCCGGACAGCGGACAGCUCCCCGAGAUAAUAAGCAGGCGCGAUGAAACCGCACGUAGAAAUCUGUAAUUCCCAGCAGGACCAGGAAUGGAAAACAGGAGGCGGUGGAGAAGCAAGAAGCCCGGGUGUUCCGGCUUGGCUCAGUUCCAGGGGCCAAUUACAGGACAGGUGUCCACUCGUGCCUGGUAGUUGUGGCAUCAUCAACGCCCACCCCAAAUUCUCUGUGACAUCCUAAUGAAGUCAGAGACACCACGUCAAGCUCGUUGCAGCCUCAGAGUCCUUGCCUUUGCUGUUCCCUCAGCUUGGAAUGCUCUGCUCCCCAAGCACCCCAAGGCUCCCUCCGCCUUCUUAUCCAAGCCUCAGGGCUGUCUGUCUCCCCCCACUACACUGUGAGCCCCUUGAGGACAGAGACUGUGUUUGUAUUUUCCCAGCACUCAUGCAUGGCCUUGCACACAGCAGGUGCUCAAUAAAUGUUUGUUGAAUCAGUAAAGGCAUCAGAGGAUAAAACAACGUAUCAGUCAAUAAAGGAAUUUAUGGUUUCAGUAUGCACAUGAAGGUCCUACUUCUUUCUCCUCGACGUCCCCCACAGAGAUGCCACAGGGUGAUGGUGGCCGCGGGUGGUUAUUGGGGAGUAUAAUUAAAUUUGUGGGCACUCAAGGGCCAGCCAGCCAACGAAUAGCCCCAGGAGAGAGCCAGGCUCGUUUAAUUAGCAAUUACGAGGCAUUGAUUCCUCAUUAGUUCCGGCAACCCCGUCUCCCUCCCCAGCCCCAGACAAAUGAAAUCUUUCUCUCCCC
rnacentral:lncRNA from 1 species